CUCCCGGUUGAUCCUGCCGGAACCCGAUUGCUAUCAGAGUGGGAAUAAGCCAUGCGAGUCAACGUAGCAAUACGUGGCAUACGGCUCAGUAACACGUAGUCAACAUGCCCAGAGGACGUGGAUAACCUCGGGAAACUGAGGAUAAACCGCGAUAGGUCAGGAUUUCUGGAAUGAUUCUUGGCUGAAAUCUACAUGGCCUCUGGAUUGGACUGCGACCGAUCAGGCUGUUGGUGAGGUAAUGGCCCACCAAACCUGUUACCGGUACGGGCUCUGAGAGGAGGAGCCCGGAGAUGGGCACUGAGACAAGGGCCCAGGCCCUAUGGGGCGCAGCAGGCGCGAAACCUCUGCAAUAGGCGAAAGCUUGACAGGGUUACUCUGAGUGGUUUCCGCUAAGGGAAUCUUUUGGCACCUCUAAAAAUGGUGCAGAAUAAGGGGUGGGCAAGUCUGGUGUCAGCCGCCGCGGUAAUACCAGCACCCCGAGUGGUCGGGACGAUUAUUGGGCCUAAAGCAUCCGUAGCCGGUCCUGCGAGUCUUCCGUUAAAUCCAGCUGCUCAACAGAUGGGCUGCGGAAGAUACUACAGGGCUAGGAGGCGGGAGAGGCAAGCGGUACUUUAUGGGUAGGGGUAAAAUCCUUUGAUCCACAGAAGACCACCAGUGGCGAAGGCGGCUUGCCAGAACGCGCUCGACGGUGAGGGAUGAAAGCUGGGGGAGCAAACCGGAUUAGAUACCCGGGUAGUCCCAGCUGUAAACGAUGCAGACUCGGUGAUGGGUUGGCCUCGCGCUAACUCAGUGCCGCAAGGAAAGCCCGUUAGUCUGCCGCCCUGGGGCGUACGGUUGCUAGACGGAAACUUUAAGGAAUUGGCUGGGGAAGCUCAAGGGCAAUA
rnacentral:rRNA from 1 species